AACGAAGCCUCCAGACACAGGCCAGGUGGGAGUUUUCCGCUCUCCGUGUGUCCUGGGCCGCUGUUCCCAGGCCUUUGCAGAUCCCAGAGUAGUGAAUGGCCGAGGUGAUGCUUAAGGGAGAUCCUGGGCCUUGGGAUAAAGUCCCUUGAGCGCCAAGUUGGGGGCGGGACUUAGGGUGAUCGUUGGUGGGAGCAUGCCGGGGCUAUGGAGGCAGAGGCUUCCUUCAGCUUGGGCUUUGCUUCUCCUGCCGUUCCUGCCGCUGCUGAUGCCCGCAGCCCCCGCAGCCCACCGCGGGUCCUACAAGCCCGUGAUCGUGGUGCACGGGCUCUUUGACAGUUCAUACAGCUUCCGCCACCUGCUGGACUAUAUCAAUGAGACACACCCCGGGACUGUAGUGACGGUGCUUGAUCUCUUCGAUGGCAGAGAGAGUUUGCGGCCCCUGUGGGAACAGGUGCAAGGGUUCCAAAAGGCUGUGGCCCCCAUCAUGGAAAAGGCCCCUGAAGGGGUGCACCUCAUCUGCUACUCCCAGGGAGGCCUGGUGUGCCGUGCUUUGCUGUCUGUCAUGGAUAACCACAAUGUGGACUCUUUCAUCUCCCUCUCCUCUCCACAGAUGGGCCAGUAUGGAGACACUGACUAUUUGAAGUGGCUCUUCCCCACGUCCGUGCGGUCUAACCUCUAUCGGGUCUGCUAUAGUCCUUGGGGCCAGGAAUUUUCCAUUUGUAACUACUGGCACGAUCCUCACCACGAUGACUUGUACCUCAAUGCCAGCAGCUUUCUGGCCCUCAUCAAUGGGGAAAGAGACCAUCCCAAUGCCACUGCAUGGCGGAAGAACUUCCUUCGUGUGGGCCGUCUGGUGCUGAUUGGGGGUCCCGAUGAUGGAGUCAUCACUCCCUGGCAAUCUAGCUUCUUUGGUUUCUAUGAUGCCAACGAGACAGUCCUGGAGAUGGAGGAGCAGCCGCCAGAGAGGCCCACCCACCAGUGUAAGCUGCGGCUGCUGGGGCUGCUGUAGCUGCAGCCUCCUGGACGGGGGAAACAGCCUUCAGAGUGAAGGAGCCAUGGGGCUCCGGGCUGAGCUGUGCGUUUCCCUACGAGGACUCUCAUUCUUCCUGAUGCUGAUGACAGGCGAAGGGGCCAGAGGAGGAUCUUUCAAAGAGAGUUUAGGAGUGUGCUCCAAGCAGACGCUGCUGGUUCCGCUCCGUUACAACGAGUCCUACAGUCAACCGGUGUACAAACCCUACCUGACCCUGUGUGCGGGUAGGCGCAUAUGUAGCACCUACAGGACCACAUACCGUGUGGCCUGGCGGGAGGUGAGGCGGGAGGUACCACAGACACACGUGGUGUGCUGCCAGGGCUGGAAGAAGCCACACCCUGGAGCUCUCACCUGUGAUGGUGAGGAGGCUGGGACUUCAGGCUGUGGGAGGCUUGCUGGGAGCUGGCCCUGUGUGUAAGUCUUAACUGUCUUCUCAAACGGACCCCAGCCAUCUGCUCCAAGCCUUGUCUUAAUGGAGGUGUCUGCACCGGACCAGACCGGUGCGAGUGUGCCCCAGGCUGGGGAGGAAAGCAUUGCCACGUGG
ensembl:processed_transcript predicted gene 20460